UUAGUAACGGCGAGUGAAGCGGCAAGAGCUCAAAUUUGAAAGCUGGCCCCCUCGGGGUCCGCGUUGUAAUUUGCAGAGGAUGCUUCGGGAGCGGCCCCCGUCUAAGUGCCCUGGAACGGGCCGUCAUAGAGGGUGAGAAUCCCGUAUGGGAUGGGGUGCCCGCGCCCGUGUGAAGCUCCUUCGACGAGUCGAGUUGUUUGGGAAUGCAGCUCUAAAUGGGUGGUAAAUUUCAUCUAAAGCUAAAUAUUGGCCGGAGACCGAUAGCGCACAAGUAGAGUGAUCGAAAGAUGAAAAGCACUUUGAAAAGAGAGUUAAACAGCACGUGAAAUUGUUGAAAGGGAAGCGCUUGCGACCAGACUCGCCCGCGGGGUUCAGCCGGCACUCGUGCCGGUGUACUUCCCCGCGGGCGGGCCAGCGUCGGUUUGGGCGGCCGGUCAAAGGCCCCUGGAAGGUAACGCCCCCCCGGGGGCGUCUUAUAGCCAGGGGUGCCAUGCGGCCUGCCCGGACCGAGGAACGCGCUUCGGCUCGGACGCUGGCAUAAUGGUCGUAAACGACCCGUCUUGAAACACGGACCAAGGAGUCUAACAUCUACGCGAGUGUUCGGGUGUCAAACCCGUACGCGCAGUGAAAGCGAACGGAGGUGGGAACCCCCCGGGGUGCACCAUCGACCGAUCCUGAUGUCUUCGGAUGGAUUUGAGUAAGAGCGUAGCUGUUGGGACCCGAAAGAUGGUGAACUAUGCCUGGAUAGGGCGAAGCCAGAGGAAACUCUGGUGGAGGCUCGCAGCGGUU
rnacentral:rRNA from 1 species